rnacentral:rRNA from 1 species
UACGAAGGGGGCUAGCGUUGCUCGGAAUUACUGGGCGUAAAGGGCGCGUAGGCGGAUAUUUAAGUUAGAGGUGAAAGCCCAGGGCUCAACCCUGGAAUAGCCUUUAAUACUGGAUAUCUUGAGUUCGGGAGAGGUGAGUGGAACUCCGAGUGUAGAGGUGAGAUGCGUAGAGAUCGGGAGGAACAUCAGUGGCGAAGGCGGCCAUCUGGGACAACACUGACGCUGAGGCACGAAAGCGUGGGGAGCAAACAGG